rnacentral:rRNA from 1 species
UACGUAGGGUGCAAGCGUUAAUCGGAAUUACUGGGCGUAGAGCGUGCGCAGGCGGCUUUGCAAGACAGAUGUGAAAUCCCCCGGGCUUAACCUGGGAAUGGCAUUUGGGACUGCAAGGCUGGAGUUUGGCAGAGGAGACUGGAAUUCCUGGUGUAGCAGUGAAAUGCGUAGAUAUCAGGAGGAAUACCGAUGGCGAAGGCAGGUCUCUGGGCUAUAACUGACGCUCAUGCACGAAAGCGUGGGGAGCAAACAGG